CUACCCUUCUGCCUCAUCCUCCCAAGUGCUGGGAUUUAUACAGGAUUGGACAGCUGAAUUUAAAGUCGAGUUGAAGCCCAAUAUUUGGAACUGUGUUUAAUUGAAGAGGAGACAGAAGACGUCAUGUUUAAAAUUUGCAAGUUUUAUUAUACAGUCAAAUGAAAGAUUCAGCACUUGUCCCAAAGGAGUAACCAAGAUGGUAUUCUUAAAAAUUCCUGGCAUCUAUGAAAUUAUCUAAUUACAGAAUUUUCUUUCAUUAUAUGAACUACUCUUGAUUUCAUCAUGAAAAAUCUGAAUUGAAACAGUUUGUUGAAAUACUGAAACUGAAUUUUCAAUUAAGUGGGAAUAUUUGUAUGCUAAUAUGAUGCAAUGUUGUUGUUUCACAUUUUUUCCAUGUUAAAGAUUGUUCUGAACUCUAAAUCUUUUGAAUAAAUGAUACUGAAACCCAG